rnacentral:rRNA from 1 species
GAUGAACGCUGGCGGCGUGCUUAACACAUGCAAGUCGAACGAUGAAGCCCAGCUUGCUGGGUGGGUUAGUGGCGAACGGGUGAGUAACACGUGAGUAACCUGCCCUUAACUCUGGGAUAAGCCUGGGAAACUGGGUCUAAUACCGGAUAGGAGCGUCCACCGCAUGGUGGGUGUUGGAAAGAUUUAUCGGUUUUGGAUGGACUCGCGGCCUAUCAGCUUGUUGGUGAGGUAAUGGCUCACCAAGGCGACGACGGGUAGCCGGCCUGAGAGGGUGACCGGCCACACUGGGACUGAGACACGGCCCAGACUCCUACGGGAGGCAGCGGUGGGGAAUAUUGCACAAUGGGCGCAAGCCUGAUGCAGCGACGCCGCGUGAGGGAUGACGGCCUUCGGGUUGUAAACCUCUUUCAGUAGGGAAGAAGCGAAAGUGACGGUACCUGCAGAAGAAGCACCGGCUAACUACGUG